rnacentral:rRNA from 2 species
AGAGUUUGAUCAUGGCUCAGAACGAACGCUGGCGGCGCGUUUUAAGCAUGCAAGUCGAGCGGCAAGGGUCUUCGGGCCCCUAGAGCGGCGGACGGGUGAGUAACACGUGGACAAUCUGCCCCCCGGCCGGGGAUAGCCCAGGGAAACCUGGAUUAAUACCGGAUGAGACGGGACCCGCGGAGGCGGGAUCCGGGAAAGGCGCUGCGGCGCCGCCGGGGGAUGAGUCUGCGUCCCAUUAGCUUGACGGCGGGGUAACGGCCCACCGUGGCGACGAUGGGUAGCCGGCCUGAGAGGGUGGACGGCCACAUUGGAACUGAGACACGGUCCAGACUCCUACGGGAGGCAGCAGCUAAGAAUCUUCCGCAAUGGGCGAAAGCCUGACGGAGCGACGCCGCGUGAACGAAGAAGGCCGUGAGGUUGUAAAGUUCUUUUCGGGAGGGGGAACAACCGUGGCAGGGAAUGGCCGCGGGAUGACGUGAAUCCCGGAAUAAGCCCCGGCUAACUACGUGCCAGCAGCCGCGGUAACACGUAGGGGGCGAGCGUUGUUCGGAAUCAUUGGGCGUAAAGGGCGUGCAGGCGGUCCUGCAAGUCCGGCGUGAAAGACCCCGGCCCAACCGGGGGGGCGCGCUGGAAACUGCAGGGCUUGAGUACAGGAGGGGAUG